UGUGUGUGUGUGUGUGUGUGUGUGUGUGUGUGUGUGUGUGUGUGUGUGUGUGUGUGUGUUUAACUAUACUUGUGGGGACCAGAAGUCCCCAAAGAAUAGAAAACAAGCAAAAAACUGACCAACUGGUAACAUUUUCUUAGUUCUCACAAGGUCAAAUGCUAUUUCUAGGGGGUUAAGGUUAGAAAUAGGGUUAGUGUUAGGAGGUAGGGUUAGGUUUAGGGUUACGAUUAAGGUUAGGGUUUAGGGAAAAUCUGAUUUUGAACUGGACUGAAUUGUGUGUUUUGGCCUUUCUAGGGAGUUUUUCCUAGCCACCGUGCUUCUACACCUGCAUUGCUUGCUGUUUGGGGUUUUAGGCUGGGUUUCUGUACAUCACUUUGAGAUAUCAGCUGAUGUACGAAGGGCUAUAUAAAUACAUUUGAUUUGAUUUGANNNNNNNNNNGCGUUCAACUAGAUUCAGCCACGGGCCGCUGUUUGUUGGGGGGGGGGCAACUAGAUUCAGCCACGGGCCGUUGUUUGUCGGAGCGAACGGUCAGGGGGGAGGGCAACUAGAUUCAGCCUUGGGCCGUUGUUUGUCGGAGCGAAUGGUCGGGGGGAGUAGAUGUUGUCUGUAUUAUGUACUGUACGGUUCACGGAUCAUAAGGUCUUACAGGAGGCAUGUAUAGGUCUAAAAAGGGCCUAAAAUGGCCACUUUCAUCAUGAUUUUGAUUGUGAUACAAAUAUAAAAUGCAUGUAAAACUUCCUUCCUUUCAAUUAAGUUUCUAUGUGAGAAUUGUCAGAACAAUCUGAGAUACUGUACUGUACCAAAAGUAUUUUUGGGCUAUGCUGGCGUGAAAUCACCCGUAUCUCUUUUAGCCUGUCGUUCACCGUGCCCCAUCCCCCCAUCCCUCCAUCCCUUGUUCAUGUUGUUUAACUGGAUCAGAGAGAAGCUCAGCUCAGCGCCAGAUCAACUGAACUGACUUCACAAGAUGGAGUCCUUCCAAACUCCUCCAUCGCACGCACACACACACACACACACGUUCAUCCUGUUGUUGCUUUCUCUGACUCUCCGCCUGUCUGUUUUGCUGUAUUUCGUCAUUUGGUCUUAUGCUCUAUGUGUUUACAGAGCUACUUCAGGAGAAACAAAUGUGUAGUUUGUUGUUUGUAUUGUGAAUGUAUAUUUGAUUCUGUGUACAGGGCUGAUGUGACUUUCAGUGGAGGCUCCUCAGAGGGUCAUCCUCCUCAGUGAGUUUCAUGAAAAUAAAAAAUAGUGAAACAUUAAAGUUAUCCUUUUUUAGAUAAAACUAUACGACAUAUAUUCACGUCACCAAAUAAUUGGUUAA
rnacentral:lncRNA from 13 species